rnacentral:lncRNA from 1 species
UCUGGGACUUUCUGGGUGUUGCAACUUACAUAUUUGUUAGGGAAAUGUUUUAUUUGUGAAGCAUCUUUGAGUAGUCAAGUUAGUGUUCUAUUUUUGAGCUAAAUCUACGCUCAUGACAACAUGAAACUAUUCUUGCCAUAUCAUGUCAUUUUCUCCUCUUUAAACGUUCCUUGUGACUGCGGUGACUUGCCUAUUGUAGAAGAAAUAACUUAUAUUCUACUGGUUGGAGUUUUGAAGAAAUGGCAAGAAAAAUGUGUCUUGAUUAAAAGCUACUGUAGCUAUUAGAAGAGCUUUAACAGAGGAGGCUGGAAGUCUUGGCCUGAGUGACUACUGAAAAGAUACCUGAAAGGUAGGAGACCUUCAUCCAAAUCUCUGCAAUGAAUUCAGGCAUCAAUGAUUUCAGCUCAAUUCUUCCACAUCCCACUUGAUUUUUUUCUAAUCAGUUAGUUGGUCACCAUCAUGAGAGUCUGGUUGGAUGAUCUAAUUGCUUGAUUUUAGGAGAUCUCAUUUGGAAGUAUAGUCCAUUGUCCAGCUCAGAAUAUUCCUGGAAUGCUAAUGGCACAAGUCUAUCAUGCAGGUGUAUUUCAAGCCAAGGAGGGAUGUGCUGGUGUUUUCAGGUGCUUCCAGAAUGAAGUGAAUAUCUGUUUCAGGUAUUCUGGAAUGCACUAUUGGCCUUAAAGGAUUAAAAUCCUGUUUUAAGUAUUGAUGAGUGGGGGUAUAUGUAUGGGGUACAUUUAAUAUUUUCAUAUUAAAAUAAAUAAACUAAAAAAUACUGUGGAAGAAUAGAG